UAGUCCACGCCGUAAACGAUGAUUACUCGUUGUUGGCAAUACAUCGUCAGCGACUGAGCGAAAGCAUUAAGUAAUCCACCUGGGGAGUACGGUCGCAAGAUUGAAACUCAAAGGAAUUGACGGGGGCCCGCACAAGCGGAGGAACAUGUGGUUUAAUUCGAUGAUACGCGAGGAACCUUACCUGGGCUUAAAUGCAGAACGACGUUCGCCGAAAGGCGUUCUCCCUUCGGGGCGGACUGCAAGGUGCUGCAUGGUUGUCGUCAGCUCGUGCCGUGAGGUGUCGGGUUAAGUCCCAUAACGAGCGCAACCCCUAUCGUUAGUUGCCAGCGGAUAAUGCCGGGGACUCUAACGAGACUGCCACCGUAAGGUGAGAGGAAGGUGGGGAUGACGUCAAAUCAGCACGGCCCUUAUGUCCAGGGCGACACACGUGUUACAAUGGUCAGUACAAUGGGCAGCUACCUGGCGACAGGAUGCUAAUCUCAAAAACUGAUCUUAGUUCGGA
rnacentral:rRNA from 1 species